UACGAAGGGGGCUAGCGUUGCUCGGAAUCACUGGGCGUAAAGCGCACGUAGGCGGCUUUUUAAGUCAGGGGUGAAAUCCUGGAGCUCAACUCCAGAACUGCCUUUGAUACUGGGAAGCUUGAGUCCGGGAGAGGUGAGUGGAACUCCGAGUGUAGAGGUGAAAUUCGUAGAUAUUAGGAAGAACACCAGUGGCGAAGGCGGCUCACUGGCCCGGUACUGACGCUGAGGCGCGAAAGCGUGGGGAGCAAACAGG
rnacentral:rRNA from 1 species